UUGACCUCAAAUCAGGUAGGACUACCCGCUGAACUUAAGCAUAUCAAUAAGCGGAGGAAAAGAAACUAACAAGGAUUCCCUUAGUAACUGCGAGUGAAGUGGGAAAAGCUCAAAUUUAAAAUCUGGCAGUCAUUUGGCUGUCCGAGUUGUAAUCUAGAGAAGUGUUGCCCGUGCUGGACCAUGUACAAGUCUCCUGGAAUGGAGCAUCACAGAGGGUGAGAAUCCUGUCUUUGACAUGGACUGCCAGUGCUUUUGUGGUAUGCUCUCAAAGAGUCGAGUUGUUUGGGAAUGCAGCUCAAAAUGGGUGGUAAAUGCCAUCUAAAGCUAAAUAUUGGCGAGAGACCGAUAGUGAACCAGUACCGUGAGGGAAAGAUGAAAAGAACUUUGGGAAGAGAG
rnacentral:rRNA from 1 species